CCAACAGGGACAGCUGAAGAGGUUGCACUCUCUCAGCUUUGUCCAUGUGGCGUAUGGGAGCGUAGGCUUCUGCCCUAUGACGUAUGGUCCCCUUCCACACUGUUGGAGAGCAAGUUGGACCUCCGUGGUCUGCAGCCUGCAUAUUCCUACUGCUUCUCUGAGUCUUUGGACCAUGAAAGAGGAGAUAAACCAUGCAGGAGACAUUC
ensembl:snoRNA SNORA73 Small nucleolar RNA SNORA73 family